GUUGGGCUGAGAGGUACGCUACAUGAUCCUAUUUGGUACGAGAACUCUAUUUUCGGCCUACUUGACGCACGCUCACUGGGCACGGAGGUGUUAUCCUAACCAAGCUUGCGAGCACGGCGGCCGUUUGCCAUCUGGGGCAAGCCUUCAAGGACCCGAAAAGGAAACAUGAUAUCUGGCGUUGGGUUAGUCUAAGAUGGUUUCCUAAUAAAAGGAAAAAUGUCGUGCUUAUUAUAUGAUUAUCCGGGACAACUUGGAAAUGAGAAAACGUCUACUUAAUUUUAAACAUUGGGUCAAUUAUUUUUUCUUUUUAUCAUUCUAACGUGUGACUGGGUUUUUAGCUUUUUGUUUGAAAUAUAACAAAAGAAAUUAAAAGUAAUCAUUAUUCUUGAGUAGUCGGAGUCGAAAAGGACACUACUGAGAUUCUUUCUCAAAUUCAUAAUCAAAACAUCCCUUUAUUAUAUAUAUACGAAUUGCUAAUAAAGGGAUUUAGCAUUCAUGUUCAACAAAAAUAGCUUAAAUUUAAUUAUGAUAAUUUGGACAUUGAAUUUGAAGGUACGAUGAUAAUGAUUAAUGUAAAACAAUUAUUCUAACCUUGACUAGACUUUGAAGGUUCGAAAUUCUUAUCUUAUAUCUUUAAUCAACUUUUCAUUUUAGUUUAAUAAAGCAACUGUUUGAAAAAAUACGGCAAACACAUAAUCUCAAAUAAAAUUUGUAUUGAAACAAACUGUAUACAAUUACAAAAUAGAAUAAUAAGAACGAGAUACAAACAUAUUUAAUGAUCUGAGUCUUACAAACGCAGUUUUAUUAAAAAAGAUUCAUCGUUUACCGGGAGUUGUGGACUUUGUCGGCGUCUUCCUCACAGGAUAAAACGGUUGGACCGCGUACGUCGAAACACGUAAACCUUGCGAACUUGAAUUUACGUCUGUCUCUCUCUCUAAACGAAAUUGCGAAAGUAUGAAAACCGUGUCUCUUCCAAGACAAUAACUUUAAUACAUAUAGAAAGAAAAAAGUGACUCAAAAGUAAUUGAUGAGUUGCUCAAAUAAAUACAUGAAAACUGCCGAAAUGAAUUGAGCCAUAAUCUCACUUCAUGAGAGUAUAAUGGCUGACAUUUGAAUUGCUUCGUCCAAGUUCGAUAAACUUAGAUAUAAUUAUUCAGUUUUUCAAGAAAACCUCUAAACGCCCCCACAUCAUUCAUACAAAAAAUUUGUAAAUUUGUAACAGCAACCAAUGCCAUUUCAGAAAACUUUUUGGAGGUCUCUAUAAUUGUCAGCAAUCUCAGAUGGGGUAAUCUUAAAUACCACAAUUCAUUUAUAGGAACUUUUUGUUAUUCACGCUCCUCUUUUUAUUGCAUGCACUUCAAUGAAAAAAAUGGUCAAAUUUUCACUCACUGUUUUUUUUUCUUUUAUGUCAUUUUAUAAAUUAAUAAUUAAAAAAAAAAAAUGGAGGUUAACCUCUUGGGCUGAGAAAUAGGCUCUAAUGAUCCAUCUUGGUAAUUUUAAAAAGGAAUUGUUUAUUAUUUACGCUCAUUUUUUAAAUUGUUCCCCGAAUUUAGAUUAAAAAAUGUUAUUCAAAUUCAAAAAUAAUUAUGUGACCUCAAAAGAAUUUUUCUGGGUCCAAAUUCAUGAACUGUAACAAUCCUGUUCUUUAAUUAUAAUGUACCCGAAAAAAUAAAAAAUAAAAAGAGUAACAAAAGGAAGUUGUUGGGCUGAGAGGUGGGCGGCUGAUGGAUCCUGCUUGGUACAGGCCCCCAUUAUUCCAUGCAUCAUUGGGCUGAAGGUACGGGCUGCUCUGGCAAGCCAGCCCAACAUCUAUCUAAAGCUCCAUUGGAGCGAGAGACAGCACCUGAACGUCUGCGGCCUUUGCACCGCGACUCACGGGCACUGAUAACGGGCGUUCAUCCAACCAGGCCCGCGUUCCACCUCCGAGCCCACAUCAUGGAAGGUAGAGCCUGCAACGCCCAGCCCAAGCAAGAUCCAUGAAAAACGCACACCCCGGUCCAGCCCUUCGACAGCCUUAUUGCCCCAGCUUUGGUCACAAGCCCACGCUACUGGGCCCGGCUCUGG
rnacentral:lncRNA from 1 species